UGUCCCACAAUGCACCCGAGAGCAGGAGCUGAAAGCCUCUAACACCCACAGAUCCCUCUAUGACUGCAAUGUGAGGUAACACCUGCUGGCCCGGCACAGAAAUGUUCUCAUUCUGCGGGACGCCACCUCCCACAGAGGACUGCAAACGCCCCAGGCGGCCUGGACCCGGAGUGGAGCCUCCCGGGGUGGAGACUGGACGGGGUGGUGACGGGAUUGGACGGCUGGAGUGUGCGGUCACUAGGGGGUGGGGCUAGGGCGGGCCACGUUUGGACUGCGAGGCCCGGGCCUGAAAG
rnacentral:lncRNA from 1 species